rnacentral:lncRNA from 1 species
GAAACAAGAGAUCCAGCAAGAACACCAGAAAGCGUCUCAACACCAAACAAAAUCCCAACAAUAAGAGGAGUCAACAUAACAAGAGCACCAGGUGGAAUCAUCUCCUUAAUAGAAGCAUCAGUAGAAAUCUUAACACACGUGGCAUAAUCAGGCUUAGCAGUUCCCUCCAUCAACCCAGGAAUCUCAUUAAACUGUCUCCUAACUUCCUCCACCAUCUUAAGCGCAGCCUUCCCGACACUCUUCAUAGUCAUAGCCGAGAACCAAUACGGA